rnacentral:rRNA from 1 species
GCCACACUGGGACUGAGACACGGCCCAGACUCCUACGGGAGGCAGCAGUGGGGAAUUGUUCGCAAUGGGCGCAAGCCUGACGACGCAACGCCGCGUGGAGGAUGAAGGUCUUCGGAUUGUAAACUCCUGUUGAUCGGGACGAAAAGCUCUGACCCAACACGUCAGAGACUGACGGUACCGGUUGAGGAAGCCACGGCUAACUCUGUGCCAGCAGCCGCGGUAAUACAGAGGUGGCAAGCGUUGUUCGGAAUUACUGGGCGUAAAGGGCGCGUAGGCGGCCUUCUAAGUCGGACGUGAAAGCCCCAGGCUUAACCUGGGAACUGCGUCCGAUACUGGGAGGCUUGGAUUCGGGAGAGGGGAUGUGGAAUUCCAGGUGUAGCGGUGAAAUGCGUAGAUAUCUGGAGGAACACCGGUGGCGAAGGCGGCAUCCUGGACCGAGAUCGACGCUGAGGCGCGAAAGCUAGGGGAG